GACGGAGGGGGCUAGCGUUGUCCGGAUUUACUGGGCGUAAAGGGCGCGUAGGCGGUUCUUUUAGUCGGCGGUGAAAUCUCCCGGCUCAACUGGGAAACUGCCGCCGAUACUGGAGAACUUGAGUUCGGGAGAGGAGAGUGGAAUUCCUGGUGUAGCGGUGAAAUGCGUAGAGAUCAGGAAGAACACCCGUGGCGAAGGCGGCUCUCUGGACCGAUACUGACGCUGAGGCGCGAAAGCUAGGGGAGCGAAC
rnacentral:rRNA from 1 species